rnacentral:rRNA from 2 species
GGGAAACUCGCCUUAAGAUGAGAUAUCCCUGGGGACUAGAUCCCCUUGAAGGGUCGUUCGAGACCAGGACGUUGAUAGGUCAGGUGUGUAAGCGCAGUAAUGCGUUCAGCUAACUGAUACUAAUUGCCCGUAAGGCUUGAUCCUAUAACA